AUACGGAGGGUGCGAGCGUUAAUCGGAAUUACUGGGCGUAAAGCGUACGUAGGCGCUUGGUUAAGUUAGAUGUGAAAGCCCCGGGCUUAACCUGGGAACUGCAUUUAAAACUGGCGAACUAGAGUUGAGUAGAGGGGAGUGGAAUUUCAGGUGUAGCGGUGAAAUGCGUAGAGAUCUGAAGGAACACCAGUGGCGAAGGCGACUCCCUGGACUCGAACUGACGCUGAGGUACGAAAGCGUGGGUAGCAAACGGGAUUAGAAACCCUGUAGUCC
rnacentral:rRNA from 1 species